rnacentral:rRNA from 1 species
GGGGCGAUUGAGAAAGAUAAAAAACUUUUUUUUAUUUAAAGAGAUCCCUUAUUAACGAUUUUAUGUAAAAAAUACUCUAGGGAUAACAGCGUAAUAAUUUUAGAUAGAUCUUAUAGAAAAAAUAGUUUGCGACCUCAAUAUUGGAUUAGGAUACUUGUUUAAUGAAGAAGUUAAAUAAAGAAGUUUGUUCAACUUUUAAAAUCCUACUUGAUCUG